rnacentral:rRNA from 1 species
UGAGGAAUAUUGGACAAUGGGCGCAAGCCUGAUCCAGCCAUGCCGCGUGCAGGAUGACGGUCCUAUGGAUUGUAAACUGCUUUUGUACAGGAAGAAACAGUUCUACGUGUAGAACCUUGACGGUACUGUAAGAAUAAGGAUCGGCUAACUCCGUGCCAGCAGCCGCGGUAAUACGGAGGAUCCAAGCGUUAUCCGGAAUCAUUGGGUUUAAAGGGUCCGUAGGCGGUUAGAUAAGUCAGUGGUGAAAGCCCAUCGCUCAACGGUGGAACGGCCAUUGAUACUGUCUGACUUGAAUUAUUAGGAAGUAACUAGAAUAUGUAGUGUAGCGGUGAAAUGCUUAGAGAUUACAUGGAAUACCAAUUGCGAAGGCAGGUUACUACUAAUGGAUUGACGCCGAUGGACGAAAGCGUGGGUAGCGAACAGGAUUAGAUACCCUAGUAGUCCCUGAGCGGGCUGGCAAGGCGCAU